CCAUGAUUAACAAAAUACAGUGAACAUAACCCAAAAAGUGGUUAGUUGAAUGAUAACAUAGUAUUGAUAGUAAAAAUUUUAUAAUUUAGAAAAGAAUAUUUUUUAGUAUUAAUUUGUAAUUAGAAAUUAUAAAAAAUGGUUUCUGUUCUAAAUACGGUAGAUACCGGUCAUGAGGAUAUGAUUCAUGAUGCGGAAAUGGAUUAUUAUGGCUUAAGGUUAGCUACGUGUUCCAGCGAUAAUUCAGUUAAAAUUUUCGAUUUAAAAAAUGGCUCUCAAAGUUUAGUAGCUGAGUUGAAAGGACACAUUGGCCCUGUUUGGCAAGUUGCUUGGGCUCAUCCAAAAUUUGGUAAUGUACUUGCAUCUUGCAGUUAUGAUAGAAAAGUUAUAAUAUGGAAAGAACUCAAUGAAUGGACAAAAAUUUAUGAACAUACAUGUCAUGAUUCAUCAGUCAAUUCUACAGCAUGGGCACCUCAUGACUUUGGUCUUGUCCUUGCAUGCGGUAGUUCUGAUGGUUCCAUUUCUUUUAUAAUAAAUAAUGGAGAUAAUUGGGAAACACAAAAGAUCUCAAAUGGUCAUACUAUUGGUUGCAAUUCAGUUUCUUGGUGUCCUGUAGUAGAACCAAUUUUUGACUGUAAUUCACAACAAAGAACACCUAUUAAAAGAUUGGCUACUGCUGGCUGUGAUAAUUUAAUCAAAAUAUGGAAAGAAGAGGGUGACAGAUGGAUUGAAGAAACGAAAUUAGAGGCCCACAGUGAUUGGGUAAGAGAUAUCGCAUGGGCUCCAGCAGUUGGUCCACCAAGGGCAGUGCUUGCAUCUUGUUCCCAAGAUCGACGUGUUAUUGUUUGGACAUCAACUGAUUAUGUUAGUUGGACACCAAAUAUUUUGAACGUUUUUGACGAUGUUGUAUGGAAUGUUAGUUGGUCUCUCACUGGUGGAAUUCUAGCUAUCAGUGGUGGAGAUAAUAAAGUUUCCUUAUGGCGAGAAAAUUCUGAAGGGCAGUGGAUUUGUAUAUCUGAACUUAACAAGGGACAAGGGAAUAUUAACAAUGCAGAUCAACGUACACUUUAAAAAAUGCUUCCUCCAUUUUCGUUUUAAGAGCAGGAUGCCCAAUGAUGAUAGCAGCAUUUUUAACAUAUUGUAAUGUUUCAUUCAAUUGUUGAAUACAUCUUACAAUGAUACCUUCUUGAACAUUUUUGGUACAUUUUUCUUGCAAAGAAUAAUAACAGUUCCAGUCUCAUCAUGACCUCGACGACCUGCUCGACCA